rnacentral:piRNA from 1 species
UGACACUGGUGGUCAACUACAUGACAC